CCUACGGGAGGCAGCAGUGGGGAAUCUUGCGCAAUGGGCGAAAGCCUGACGCAGCGACGCCGCGUGAGGGAAGAAGGCCUUCGGGUUGUAAACCUCUUUCAGGAGGGACGAAGCCACUCGGGUGAAUAGCCCAGAGGGUGACGGUACCUCCAGAAGAAGCCCCGGCUAACUACGUGCCAGCAGCCGCGGUAAUACGUAGGGGGCAAGCGUUGUCCGGAUUUAUUGGGCGUAAAGAGCGUGUAGGCGGCUUCACAGGUCCGCUGUGAAAACUCGAGGCUCAACCUCGAGCUGUCGGUGGAAACCGUGUGGCUAGAGUCCGGAAGAGGAGAGUGGAAUUCCCGGUGUAGCGGUGAAAUGCGCAGAUAUCGGGAAGAACACCCGUGGCGAAGGCGGCUCUCUGGGACGGUACUGACGCUGAGACGCGAAAGCGUGGGGAGCGA
rnacentral:rRNA from 1 species